UUAUCAUUACAUUAAGAAUUUUCAGUCUAUCACGUUCCUUUCUUCAGCUGACAGUAUCACGUGUACAGUUAAAAAAACUUAAGUAUUUUUGCAAUCAAAAUUAUUCAUCAAUACUUAUAUUAUUAUUCAUUUAUUUAUUUUCAUAUAUUUAAAUUAACCUCAUUAUUACGUAAAUGUUUGCCGGAAAAAGUGUUGGUUUAAAUUUUCGAUACUUGAAUAAAAUAAAAAAGGGCAUAUUAUUAUUAAUAAAAUAACAAAUUCAUCAAUGAAAAUGUUUAUGACAGUUGAUAAAUAAUUGAUAUUUAUAUAAAUAAAUAAUUGGACUAUUACUUAGUAAUAAUAAUUUAAGUAAAUGAUAUUAAAAUGAAUUGGAUAAGAAUUUCACAAAUUUUAUGUGUUUUUGGUUUUGUAAAAGAAUUUCGUCCAAAUGAACCAUUCAUAUUUGAAUAUUUAACUCACCCGCCAAAAAAUUUUACAAGUGUACAAGUAACAGAAGAAGUUUAUCCAAUCGCAACUUACAGCAAUUUUGCGACUCUAAUAAUCGUAUUUUUAUUAACCGAUUUCCUGAGAUACAAACCAGUGAUAAUAUUAUGUGGCCUGUCAGGAAUAAUAACAUUCACUGGUCUAAUAUUAGGCAGAUCAAUAGCAGCAUUGCAAUUUGUUGAAUUUUUUUACGGAUUCUACAUAUCAGCAGAAGUUGCAUACUACACAUAUAUUUAUGCUAAAGUCGAUAAACAACAUUAUCAAUCUGUUUCCAGUUACACUAGAUCAGCUCUAUUAUUUGGUAGAUUCAUUACUGGUGUCGUAGCUCAAUUGAUAGUAGCGUUCAAGUGGCUGGAUUAUCAUCAACUUAACUACCUCACUCUCGCUGGCCAAGUACUUGCAACAAUUUGGUCAUUAUUUUUGCCAUCAGUUGGCCAGUCGGUUUAUUUCCAUCGUAAAGAACUUAAUGAACCUGAGGGACCAUCGACUCAAGUAAUAACUGAAGAAAAAAAAUAUAAAAGUUUAUCUUUGUAUAAAAAAGUACAAAGGGCUUAUUAUUUAUUGUGGAAAGAUUUUGUAAAGGCAUUUACAAAUUUGUACAUAAUUAAAUGGUCAUUUUGGUGGGCUGCUGCUAGCUGCGGUUAUUUACAAGUACUGUCAUACGCGCAGCCUAUUUGGCAAACUUCUGUCAAAGAAAAUGAAACGAUUUAUAACGGAGCUGUUGAAGCUCUUUAUACAAUUAUUGGUGGGAUAGCAGUUUAUGGAGUCGGAAAAUUGAAACUCAACUGGUCAGCUCUCGGGGAUAUUAUUUUAUGUGUAUUUUCAAUAAUAAUGGCCAUAUUUUUAUUCAUAACAUCAUGGAGUUACAACAUUAUAUUGCAAUACGCGGUUUAUAUCGCUUUUGGUGUCGUCUAUCACUCUCUCGUCACCGUUGCUAGCUUCGAAGUAGCGAGCAGGAUAUCUGAAGAUAGUUUUGGUCUUGUCUUCGGUAUUAAUGUUUUUCUAGGACUGGCAUUUCAAAGUUUGCUAACGUAUAUUGUUACUAGUGGAAAAGUUUUAAAACUGGACAUUAGAACUCAGUUUGCUGUUUAUGCCGGAUAUUUUGCAGUACUCGGUUCAAUAUUUAUGUUAAUUUCAGUAUUGACUACAAUAAAAUUAUGCAAAAAAAGAAAAAAAUUAGUAUUGUGCGCUGAAAAUAAAAAUAACAGUCUUGUCACCGAUUGAUGCAAUGUCGCAAUUACGCGACCAAUAACCGCGAAAUUGCUAUAGCGUGAAAAUAAUUAUGCGAACAAGUAAUAAAAUAGUUAAUAUCCGUUUUUAUUUUUAUUUAUUUUCUAGAAAAAUAUCAAAGGUUUUAAAAAGAACAAUAACUUUUUUCUAACAACCAUUAUUGUGAUACUUAGAUAAAAAUUUCAUACUUAGAAAAUACAAUUUGUGUAGAGGUACCGUUUGUGGCCACUGCUCCAUUUUUGGACAUUAAAUACUUUAUUUUAAUUAAUGAAAAAGUGUAAAGUAAAAUUUCCAUUUUAAUAGCAGGAUAAAAAGAUCUAAAAAAAUUUAAAAAAUUAAUUAUGCUAUUGCGUCUUUUUACAAAUUAUGUUAUUUAAAAUUUUCGUGUCCCAAACUGACCCUGUGAUGGCCAAAAACGGUACCUUUACCCUAUCAAUUAUUAAAAUUUAUAAUAGUAAAUACUUUGAAUGCAACUUCUUACAGGAGUUUAAAAUUUUAACUAUAUAUGUAUAUUAGGAUGGUCGUUAAAAAUUAAAUUUUCGCAGGCGCUCAAUAAAAAGCUUCUUUUUAGUGAAAAUAUACAUGGGGAAUUUGGUUUUUUCUUUUCAAGUAAAAAGAACACGUGCCGCAGGACGAUUAAAGUUCAUUUUCCGAUAUAAUCGCGGUUUUUUUUAAAUAUCUCAAGAAAUAUGCAGAUUAAAGGAAAAAAUCAUAGAAACAAUUUUGUAGGAAAUUAAAUUCUUGACAAAAAAGGUCAUGCUCAUUUUUUUUAUAAAAUGUGUAUUUAUGAAGAUAUAUCAAAAAAACUUUUUUUAGAUCUGAUGAAUUGAAAGUUUUAAGGAUUACAAAUUUUGGAAAUUACUUUUUUCCGAGUAUAUAGAAACUAUAACCAGCAUUAAGGAUUGAUAUGUUACGAGUUACGAAGUUGUCUAAUUUAAGAAAAAACGUUAUUUUAAACAUUCGUAAUCCUUAAAAUGCUCAAUUGAUAAGAUCUAAAAAAGUUUUUUUUAAAUAUCUUCGUAAAUACACAUUUUAUAAAAAAAAUGAAAAUGACCUUUUUUGUCAAGAAUUUAAUUUCCUACAAAAUUGUUUUUAUAAUUUUUUCCUUUAAUCUGCAUAUUUCAUGAGAUAUUUAAAAAAAACCGCGAUUGUAUCGAAAAAUGAACUUUGAUCGUCCUGCGGUACGUUUUUACUAAAAAGAAGCUUUUUAUGGGGCGCCUGAGAAAAUUUAAUUUUUAACGAUCAUCCUAAUAUAUAUAUAUAUAUAUAUAUAUAUACUUCCAAACAGGGUUUAAAAAUAAUUUUUAUCUAGAAAAUAAUUUCAAGUAUUUAAAUAAUUUUUAUAGACUUUUAUAUAGAUCGUAACAGUAUUUUUUAUAAAUAAAUAAAUAAACUGUAAAAAAAAUGUGUACAUAUAUAUACGUAGAUACAUAUUUAUUUAGUGAGUACAUUAACUUUCGACACGUGGAAUAACCCACGCGAAAUUCAAAAGAUAAUUUUUUAUUUUAUUUAUUUACGUAUGAGAAAACCUUGACUGUAAAAGUCAAGUGCCUGAAAUAAAAUGACCAUUUGAUUUUCGAGUGGGAAAAUCCCGUAGUAUUUAAAUUAUUUAUCACAAAUAUUAUUUAUUAUUUACUUUUAUCAAAUAUAUUAUUAUUAUUAUUAUUAAUUACUUCCAUUAUAUUAUGACUGACGUAUUGUUUUAAAUAAAAGAAUAAAAAAAACAUAAAAUAUUGAAGAGAAAAAAAAAUAUAAGGAAAUAAUAAAUAAAUCUAGUCGGUCACGGAUAGAGAUUAAAUAAUGAUACAUAAUUUCAUUGGGAUUUUCCCUUGUCUCGAGUCUGAGAUGAGAUAAGAUGAGAUGAAAUGAAUGAUGAUGAUAAUGAUGUUAAUAUGGUACGAGAGUAACACACUUACGAAUAUCGUAAAAGUGUUAAAACAACUACUAAGUAAAUGUAUGGGUGAAUACUCUGGACAUAAAUUUACUAGUAGAAUGAGUCGCUUAUUCAUUUAAAUACAUACAUAUAUACAUACAUACAUAUAUUAUACGUAUAUAUAAUAAUAUAAAAAGACGAUACAAACUACACAUGGUGAAUACUCAGCAUAUAAAGCUGCGCGCAACAACAUAUUCUUCGGCAGUUAACUUUGUACAUUGAAUUGAAAAACAACGCGGAUUUUAUUAUUUAUUUUUUCUUAUCGUGCUAAUAUUUAUUAUUAUAGACUACAUUCUACAUACUAUUGAUUUUAAUUACAAUUGUAACUGUGUACAGAUUAAAUUUAUUUAUUGUGACGGUUUUUUUUAUAGUGACUAAUUAAAGUGAUUCAUUUGUUUGAUAAAAAAAAAAACAUGAAGCUUGAGGGGAAAGAAAGAAAAGUGGGAGAUGGUAAAACCAGACGAUGAGAUUUCUCCGGCAUUUGUUCAGUUUGACUUUGCCAUUGGCCAAAUACACUCUUAUUUUUGCUCAAGACCAUUAGAUUUAUAUAUUUUAUAUAACAAUAUACUUAUUAUUCAUACAUAAAUUUAUUUAUC